rnacentral:misc_RNA from 1 species
GACAAGAGAUAUCCAGAAGGAACUAGGAAUUGGAAAGUAGUACGAUGCUAGAAUUAUACACCUUGUAGCCUGGUAAAAUUGCAUUAAUGAUAUCCUGACAAAUCAAUUCAUAUUUGCAUCUUGAAAAGGAAGUCGGAAUUGGGAAGUGAGUAAUAUCAUGCCAAGUAUGCACUGCAGUGCCUUAGCUGGUGAGACCCUGAAAUGUUGGUCCAUUGGUGUCUUGACCCGUGAGUCUGCAGCUUCUUCUUCCCUGAGAGUUCUUUGCUUCCUUUCCUUCUUAUAGUGAUUUUGCCAUUUGCUGUGCCAAUUGUUACCUUCCACCAGAGUUCCUCAGUUUUGGUUUGU